AACUUUAUUAGUCAAAUGAAGAAAGUGCUGUAGGAAAUACAUUGGGGAAAAUUCACAAAGUAGGCAUUUGUAGACUGAUCUGAGUCUCCUACAGUUUCUGGUCCUCAUUAGGAAAUCAUAUUUGUCGAAUGAAUAAAAUGUUUAUGAUGAAUGAAUGGGUAGGAUUUUACUAGACAGAGGGAUUGUGAGACAGGAAAGAUGAGCAAAGGGGUGUGAGAACAAGUUCAUGGUGUGAACUUGGGAAAAGUACAAGCUGUAGCACAGUGGGUAUGUGGAGUGUGCAAGAAAAUAACGAGGCCAGCCAAGAGGGCUGAAGCCCAUCAGGAAGCACUAUGUGGCACUGUGAAGACUUUAGCUGGUAGGUAAUGGGAAAUAGUUGCAAUUUUUAAGAAGCAGACUGACAUCAUCAGAUUUAUGUUUUAGAAAGAUUACCUGAGAGACAGUGAAAAGGAAAAGUUUAGAAGGAUAGGUGGACAGCAGGGGCAAGGACACCAAUUAGGAAGCAGUUAUCCCAGUAGGGAUGGGAUGAAGGGAUAAGGCUAAGUGAUAAGGCUAAGGAAAGAGGAGGGAGGGACAGACAUUUGAGACAGAAGUCAGUGGUAACCAAUAGUUUGGGGAUAGAGGUUGGAAGGAAGAGGAGUCAAAGAUAACGUUGAGGAUUCUACCUUGAGAGACUAGGCAAUGCUAGGGAAGACGAGUAAAAAACAGGUUUGUUUUGCAGAAAUACUGCUGAUAAAGAGUUUAGAUUAUGACUGGGAGUCUGAGGCACCCAUGGAAUAUCAGUCUCCAUUCAUUCCAGGUACUCUUGAAGUCCUGCCCAAGAACAACUCCUCAGUGUUCAAAGAUCCAUUAGGCACAGAUAUUGCUCAGUUUAGUAUAUUUUGGAGCACUCAAAUAAGACCAAAACAUCUCUUUCGAAGUUUGCUCUGAUUUUUAUCUUUCUUUGCGUUCUUGCGACUAUUGAUCAGCAAAGAAAACCAUAGGAAAACAGUACUCAUGCUUUGAUUAGAAACUGACAAACUGGUAUUGUUAGAAAUCUUGGGCAAGAUUUUCUGUCCCAUAAGCAAUGUGUUAUAUUCAAAUAGACAUUUUAUGUAUAUCAAAUAGAAUUGAUUUAGGCAAAUUUCAAUAGUUGCAUAUUUUGGGUUAAUAGUUUAUCAGUGUCCAUAGAAUGUUUUUCUAGGAAACAAAAUGCAUACUUUGUGAUAAAGUUUUUCACAGGCAGAAUUCUGCAGUCGGGUGGGGCUAAUUAUUUUGUUUUUCACUUUAAAAAAAUUAGAUUAAAAAUAAUGAGACAGAUUUUAAAUAACAGCAAAUUUACAGUGGCCCUUGCUAUCUCAUUUUAGCUGGUGUAGCUUAGACCAAUUGUUUAUUAUUUGAAUGCUUAUCAGAAAGACAAGUGUGUCAAACUCAUAAGACUACAUACAAGAAAUACUCAAGCUGGGCCUUACCUUCCCUAGUUGCUGCUCUGUGAGAGAAAAUGCAUCCAUGAAUGCCUGAGCAAUCACUGACAAACAGCCGUCUAUAUGUGGUGUCUUCUUAAUGUCAAAGACAAACUGAGGGUUCUUCAGGAUGUUUACCCAGAAGCGAAGAGGAAGGCUGUUCAAAGAGAGAAUAAUCUAUUUUCAAAUAGGGCCAUUCAUGAAGCCAGUGGUCUGUUUAUCGCAGUUUGUAAACGAGUGUUUUUGUCCUUGUUAUUGAAGUAUACAACUCUGCUUAGCCCAACAUACCAAGCAACAGACAGAAGCGUCACUUGGAGAGAAGAAGAAAGGGUUAACUGGCAGAGCUACUGUAAAAGAAGGAUAGAGGAGGGCUCUUCAAAAGGCCCAAUCUUUGAAACCUGAAAACCACAGCUCUUCCACUUUUCAACACAAAGACACCAUCCCCCUUAAGCUGGAAUGAUAGCAACUCUGCAAGAUGGCUUCACCACAGCCCCAUGUAGUGAUGGAAGGAAUCACAUUCUUAGGACUGGAAAGAGAUCAAAAUGGCUUUUCUCAACUUUCAGAGAAUUACAUAGCAACAACUCAGUCUCACCUUUGUGACAAUACAGCUGAGAGAGGCAAAAAGCAAUACUUUAUGAAGCUGGGUGAGAACAAAAGGUUAACAAUAUUAUAUGGGUUACCUGAAGUAAAAUUUGCUAUCUUCUUAAAGACUUUUAUAGUAGAUCCAUUUGAUAUCUGAAACCAAAGAUAAAAGAUAUAUGAGUUUUCAAAAUUUAAUAGAUUUCUCAACUUCACCCAGGAAUUAGAUGGCUGGAUGGAUCUUACAUGCUCUCACUUAUUAAAUCAAAUAUUUAUCAAGAAUUACUAUGUUCUGGGCACUGUGCUGGAGGCUGGGACUAAAUGACAAGCAAGACAGUGUCUCUGUCCUCAAGGGGCUCAUGGUCCUGUGGAGGAGGCUGAUGAGGCCAUGGGAGGCAGUGGGGUAGGUAGUACGCAGAAGGUGGAGGCCAGGACCCUGUGGGACAGAUGGGAGGUGGGCCAGCCCUGGAAGAGGGGAAGACUGAGCUGUGUUAGGACAUUCCCCCCAAUUCGCAGAGGUCAGGAAAGACCUAGGCCAGUUUCAUUUUUUGAGGUUAAAAAAUUGUUACUUGCUAUGGACUGAAUGUUUGUGUCUCCUCCAGAUUCCUAUGUUGAAAUCCUAAUCCCAGUUAGGAGGUAGGGCCUUUGGGAGGUGACUAAGUCAUGAGGUUGGAGCCCUCAUGAUGGGAAUAGUGCCCUUAUAAGAAGAGACACCAGGGCCAGGCGUGGUGCCUCACUCCUGUGAUCCCAGCACUUUGGGAGGAAGAAGAGGAGGAUCACUUGAGUCCAGGAGUUUUGAGACCAGUCUGGGCAACAUAGGGAGAUCCCUCUCUAUAAAAAAAAUUUUUUAAAUUAGCUGGGCACAUUGGUGCACACCUGUAGUCCCAGCUACCUGGGAGGCUGAGGUGAGAGGAUCACUUGAGCCCAGACAUUCAAGGCUGCAGUGAGCCCUGACUGUGCCACUCUACUCCAGCCUGGGCGACAGAGUGAGACCUUGUCUCUAAACAGAGGAGGAAAAAGAAGAGACAGCAGAGCUUGCUGAUCCCCUCUGCUUUCCACUACACAAAGAUACAAGAAGACGGCUCUCAGCAAACCAGGAGGAGGGUCCUUACCGGGCUACUAGUACUUUGCCCAGACCGUGAACUUUCAGUCUCUGGAACUAUAAGGAACAAAUGUUUAAGCCACCCAGUCAAUGGUAUUCUGUUAUAGCAGCCCUAACUAUGACACUACUCUAUUAAGAAAUGCUGAAACGGGUUUUCAGAAAUUGUGGUAUAUAAAGUUGGUGUCUACCCUAUGACAGAGCCAUUUCACAUGUAGGUCCUUAGUCCACAGAAAUAAGCAUAAAUCCUGAUAGGGAGCUAUUUGUAAUUGUCCCAUACUGGAAACAACCCAAACAUCCAUCAUUAGAAUGAAUAAUUUGGGGCAUAUUCAUACAACAGAUUAUAAAACAAUGAAAAUGAGCAAACCACUGUUACACGCCACAUGGGUAAAUCUUACAAUCAUAAUGUUGAGCAGAAGAAGCUCAACAGAAAAGAAAGUAUACUGACUGAUUCCAUUUACAUAGAGCUUGAAAAAAGCCCAGACAGUCAAAACUAUCAUGUUAGAUAUUUGGAGAAGAGAGCAGCGGUAGUGAUUAGGAAAGCCCAGGAGAGGGCUUCUAUUUUUUGACAUGGGUGGUAAUUUCAGGAUAUGCUCACUUGAUGAUAAUUCACCCAGCAGUACGCUUAUAAUUUAUUUGUUUUUCUGUAGGUAUAUACAGGUUGAGCAUCCCUAAUCCAAAAAUUCAAAAUGCUCCAAAAUCUGAAACUUUCCGGGUGCUGACAUGGUGCCACAAGUGGAAAAUUCCACACCUGAACUCAUGAUAGCAUGUGACAGUCAAAACCCAAUAAAAACUUUGAUUUGUGCACAAAUUAUAUAAAAUUACCUUCAGGCUCUGUGUAUAAGGUGUAUAUGACACAUAAAUAAAUUCUGUGUUUAAACAUGGGUCCUGUCACCAAAAUAUUUCAUUAUGUGUAUGCAAAUAUUCUAAAAUCCAAGUAAAUUCCAAAAUCUGAAAUACUUUUGGUUCCAAGCAUUUUGGAUAAGGGAUAUUCAACCUGUGACAUUUUUUCAAAAGCUUGUAAAAUCACAAAAUUUGCAUAUACUUUUUAAUAAAAGCUUUGAAAUGUAAGCAUAACGUGGGCCAUGCUUAACUUUUGCUAAUAUUAAGUGUGCAGCUCAAUGACUAUUCACAUUAAAUAUAUACUGGCAUAACCACCACCUUUAUCAAGACAUAAAAUAUUGCAAGGUCCUGAAAAGUGCUCCCAUUGUCCCUUCUGAGACAAUGACCACCCCAUCUUCAUCCAGAGGUAAUUACUUUUCUGUCUUCCAUCACCAUUUAUGAAUUUUGCCUGUUCUUGGGUAUCAUAUAAAUAGAAUCAUACAGUAUGUACUGUGUCUAGAUUUUGAGGGUCAAUAUAAGGUCUGUGACAUUUAUUCCUGUUGCAACUACAAGUAGUUCAUUCUUUAUUACUAUGUGUUAGUUCAUGUAGUAUGAAUAUAUUACCAAAAAUUGCCAUACAAUAAAAGGAAAGAAUUACCGAUACAUGCUACAGCAUGGAUGAACUGCAAAAACAUGCGAAGAAGCCAGUCACAAAAGACCACAUAUUGUAUGGUCCCAUUUAUAUGAAAUGUCUAUAAAGAUGGGAGCAGUAGACACAAGGGACUCCAAAAGCGGGGAGUGGGCUGGGGCAAAGGCUGAAAAAGUUCCUAUUGGGUACUGUGUUCACUGGGUGAUGGGAUCAAUAGAAGCCCACACCUCAGCAUCAUGCAGUAUACCCUUGUAGCAAACCUGCACAUGUACCCACGAAUCUAAAACAAAAGAAUAUAUGAAAUGUCCAAAACGGACAAAUUUAUAUAGACAGAUCGUAGAUUACUAGUUGGCUAAAGCAGGGGUGGGGGAAAUAAGGAGUGACUGUUAAUGAAUUCAAGGUUUCUUCAGGAAGGAUGAAAAUGUUCUAAAAUUAGAUUGUGGCAGUGGUUGCUCAAUUCUAUAAGUAUACCUAAAACCAUUGCAUUGUAUACUUCAAACGGAUUAGCUUUAUGGUAAUAUAAAUUAUAUUUUGGCUGGACACAGUGGCUCAUGACUGUAAUCCCAGCUCUUUGGGAAGCCAAGGCAGUAGGAUUGCUUGAUCCUAGGAGUUCAAGACCAGCCUGGGGAACUCAGAGCCCCAUCU